rnacentral:misc_RNA from 1 species
GUGAACCUGCGGAAGGAUCAUUAACGCGCAAGAGGUCGAAGUUGGCCCCCGAAGCUCUUCCGUCUCCCCCCCGGGCCUCCCGGGGAGGUUGCGGGCGGCGAGGGGUGCCUCCGGCCGCACGCCCAUUCUUGUCUACUGACCCGGUUGCCUCGGCGGGCCGCGCCUGCUGUGCUACAGCGGCCGUUCGGGGGGGACGCCUGAGGGGGACUCUUGUUUCCUAGGCCACGCCCCGGGCAGCGCUCGCCGGAGGAUUACUCUGGAAAACACACUCUUGAAAGAACAUACCGUCUGAGCGAGCAACGCAAAUCAGUUAAAACUUUCAACAACGGAUCUCUUGGUUCCGGCAUCGAUGAAGAACGCAGCGAAAUGCGAUAAGUAAUGUGAAUUGCAGAAUUCCGUGAAUCAUCGAAUCUUUGAACGCACAUUGCGCCCCCUGGCAUUCCGGGGGGCAUGCCUGUUCGAGCGUCAUUUCAACCCCUCAAGCCCGGCUUGUGUGAUGGACGACCGUCCCCCCUCCCCAGUAACCACCCACCGCUUAGGG